AAACCAACAGGGAUUGCCUCAGUAACGGCGAGUGAAGCGGCAACAGCUCAAAUUUGAAAUCUGGCCUCUUGGGGGUCCGAGUUGUAAUUUGUAGAGGAUGUUUCGGGUACCGCCUCGGUUUAAAUUUCUUGGAACAGAAUGUCAGAGAGGGUGAGAAUCCCGUCUUGGACCGGCGGUAGGGCCCAUGUGAAACUCCUUCGACGAGUCGAGUUGUUUGGGAAUGCAGCUCAAAAUGGGUGGUAAAUUUCAUCUAAAGCUAAAUAUUGGCCAGAGACCGAUAGCGCACAAGUAGAGUGAUCGAAAGAUGAAAAGAACUUUGAAAAGAGAGUUAAACAGUAUGUGAAAUUGUUGAAAGGGAAGCGCUUGCAACCAGACUUGAGCGCGGCGGUUCCCCCUUCCUUUUGGUUGGGUUACUCCGCCGUGUCCAGGCCAACAUCGGUUCUGGGGGUCGGUUAAAGGCCCGGGGAAUGUAUCUACUCCUCCGGGGGUAGACUUAUAGCCCCGGGUGUCAUGCGACCACCCGGGACCGAGGAACGCGCUUCGGCUCGGAUGUUGGCGUAAUGGUUGUCAGCGAC
rnacentral:rRNA from 1 species